rnacentral:rRNA from 1 species
AUUGUACGCUGGCGGCAUGCCUUACACAUGCAAGUCGAACGGCAGCACGGAGCUUGCUCUGGUGGCGAGUGGCGAACGGGUGAGUAAUAUAUCGGAACGUACCCUAGAGUGGGGGAUAACGUAUCGAAAGUUACGCUAAUACCGCAUACGAUCUAAUGAUGAAAGUGGGGGAUCGCAAGACCUCAUGCUCGUGGAGCGGCCGAUAUCUGAUUAGCUAUUUGGUAGGGUAAAAGCCUACCAAGGCAUCGAUCAGUAGCUGGUCUGAGAGGACGACCAGCCACACUGGAACUGAGACACGGUCCAGACUCCUACGGGAGGCAGCAGUGGGGAAUUUUGGACAAUGGGCGAAAGCCUGAUCCAGCAUUGCCGCGUGAGUGAAGAAGGCCUUCGGGUUGUAAAGCUCUUUUGUCAGGGAAGAAACGGUGAGAGCUAAUAUCUCUUGCUAAUGACGGUACCUUGAGAAUAAGCUCCGGCUAACUACGUGCCAUCAGCCGCGGUAAUACGUAGGGUGCAAGCGUUAAUCGGAAUUACUGGGCGUAAAGCGUGCGCAGGCGGUUUUGUUUGUCUGAUGUGAAAUCCCCUGGCUCAACCUGGGAAUUGCAAUUGAGAAUGCAAGGGUAGAAUCUGGCAGAGGGGGGUAAAUUUCACGUGUAGCAGUGAAAUGAUAGGAUAUGUGGAGGAAACACCGAUGGCGAAAGACAGCCCCCCUGGGUCAAGAUUGACGCUCAUGCACGAAAGCGUGGGGAGCAAACAGGAUUAGAUACCCUGGUAGUCCACGCCCUAAACGAUGUCUACUAGUUGUCGGGUCUUAAUUGACUUGGUAACGCAGCUAACGCGUGAAGUAGACCGCCUGGGGAGUACGGUCGCAAGAUUAAAACUCAAAGGAAUUGACGGGGACCCGCACAAGCGGUGGAUGAUGUGGAUUAAUUCGAUGCAACGCGAAAAACCUUACCUACCCUUGACAUGGCUGGAAUCCUCGAGAGAUUGAGGAGUGCUCGAAAGAGAACCAGUACACAGGUGCUGCAUGGCUGUCGUCAGCUCGUGUCGUGAGAUGUUGGGUUAAGUCCCGCAACGAGCGCAACCCUUGUCAUUAGUUGCUACGAAAGGGCACUCUAAUGAGACUGCCGGUGACAAACCGGAGGAAGGUGGGGAUGACGUCAAGUCCUCAUGGCCCUUAUGGGUAGGGCUUCACACGUCAUACAAUGGUACAUACAGAGCGCCGCCAACCCGCGAGGGGGAGCUAAUCGCAGAAAGUGUAUCGUAGUCCGGAUUGUAGUCUGCAACUCGACUGCAUGAAGUUGGAAUCGCUAGUAAUCGCGGAUAAACAUGUCGCGGUGAAUACGUUCCCGGGUCU